rnacentral:lncRNA from 1 species
UCGGGCUGUAUGCAGGAGAUGUCGGACUGUAUGCUGGCGAGGUCGGACUAUAAACCGGUGAUGUUGGACUAUAGCUCGGAGAUGUGGGGCUGUAGCUUGGUGAUGUUGGGCUGUAGCUCGGAGAUGUGGGGCUGUAGCUAGGAGAUGUGGGGCUGUAGCUCGGGGAUGUUGGCGAGUAUGAUGGACUGGUCGGAGAGUAUGAUGGACUGGUCGGGCUGUAGGAAGGAGAGCCAGGCGUAUAUGAUGGAGAGGUGGGGCUGUAGCUGGGCGAUGCAGGGCUGUAUGAUGGAGAAGUGGGACUGUAACCAUGUCC